GACGAACGCUGGCGGCGUGCCUAAUACAUGCAAGUCGUACGCUUCUUUUUCCACCGGAGCUUGCUCCACCGGAAAAAGAAGAGUGGCGAACGGGUGAGUAACACGUGGGUAACCUGCCCAUCAGAAGGGGAUAACACUUGGAAACAGGUGCUAAUACCGUAUAACAAUCGAAACCGCAUGGUUUUGAUUUGAAAGGCGCUUUCGGGUGUCGCUGAUGGAUGGACCCGCGGUGCAUUAGCUAGUUGGUGAGGUAACGGCUCACCAAGGCCACGAUGCAUAGCCGACCUGAGAGGGUGAUCGGCCACAUUGGGACUGAGACACGGCCCAAACUCCUACGGGAGGCAGCAGUAGGGAAUCUUCGGCAAUGGACGAAAGUCUGACCGAGCAACGCCGCGUGAGUGAAGAAGGUUUUCGGAUCGUA
rnacentral:rRNA from 1 species